UACGGAGGGUGCAAGCGUUAUCCGGAUUCACUGGGUUUAAAGGGUGCGUAGGUGGGUUGGUAAGUCAGUGGUGAAAUCUCCAGGCUUAACUUGGAAACUGCCAUUGAUACUAUCAAUCUUGAAUACCGUGGAGGUCAGCGGAAUAUGUCAUGUAGCGGUGAAAUGCUUAGAGAUGACAUAGAACACCCAUUGCGAAGGCAGCUUACUACGGAUUGAUUGACACUGAGGCACGAAAGCGUGGGGAUCAAACAGG
rnacentral:rRNA from 1 species